AAAGAGUCCUGAUCCCUGUGGUGAGGAUGGGAGUGCAGAUAUAGAUGUUGGGCGUUCUGAGCUCUUCUCACCCAAAAAGAGUCCUGAUCCCUGUGAUGAGGAUGGGAGUACAGAUAUCGAUGAGCGAACCAUAGUGAAGGCGAAGAGGCCGUGGAGUGAAGUAGAGAGGAG